rnacentral:rRNA from 1 species
UACGAGGGGUCCAAGCGUUGUCCGGAAUCACUGGGCGUAAAGCGAAUGUAGGCGGCUAUUCAAGUCACUUGUGAAAGCCCGGGGCCUAACCCCGGAAGUGCAAGUGAUACUGUUUAGCUUGAGUAUCAGAGAGGACACUGGAAUACCUGGUGUAGUGGUGAAAUACGUAGAUAUCAGGUGGAACACCGGCGGCGAAGGCGGGUGUCUGGCUGAAUACUGACGCUGAGAUUCGAAAGCGUGGGGAGCAAACAGGAUUAGAUACCCCAGUAGUCC